ensembl:snoRNA small nucleolar RNA, H/ACA box 28
AAGCAACACUCUGUGGCAGAUGAUGGAAACCGUCUGGCACAAUUUCCGCUUGCUAUAGCAAGAAAGUCUAACCUAUUCUGGUGUUCUCUCUUCCGUGAGAUAAACCAUUAUAUAGACUUAAACAGC